rnacentral:rRNA from 1 species
GUCCACGCCGUAAACGAUGAUAACUAGCUGUUCGGGGUCUACGAUCCUGAGUGGCGCAGCUAACGCAUUAAGUUAUCCGCCUGGGGAGUACGGUCGCAAGAUUAAAACUCAAAGGAAUUGACGGGGGCCUGCACAAGCGGUGGAGCAUGUGGUUUAAUUCGAAGCAACGCGCAGAACCUUACCAGCGUUUGACAUCCUAAUCGCGGAUUCCAGAGAUGGUUCCUUCAGUUCGGCUGGAUUAGUGACAGGUGCUGCAUGGCUGUCGU